GAAAUCAAGAUCCAAAUAUUUGAAUUUGCAAUGAAUCACAGCCAUUUCAAAACAGGUUUCAGUUAAUUACACGUUAUACAUGCUCAAGAUAUGCUGAUAUUAUACUUGUAACCAAAUUACACAUUGCUGUUAGUUAGAGAGCUGGAAGAAUCAGAAGAGAAUGUGUUCAUCUUAUUUCUAAGCAAGUUUCAAACAAAUUGAAGAUGGGCACACUAUAAGGCUUCAUUUGGGACGGCUUUUUUAUUGCUUCAUAUAAUAACUUUUUAGUAAAAAAUUAAAAAUUUUAUAUUAGAAAGCUUCUUUAAGAAGCAGAAAGAAAGUCAUCCCAAAUGAAGCCUAAAUGUGCUGAUGCUGCAUUUGGUUACAUUAGGUUAAAGCAUGUUUUAAAAAAAAACAGUUAGUUUAUUAGGUUGAAUGCAAUAAGAAAGCAAUAUAUAAUUCUUUGAUAUUUAAAACUAAAUAACAAUCAUAAAAACUAUAAAUAUAUAAAAAGUUCUAGCAGAAAAUAAUGCUUGGAGACUACAAGAUAAAUAAAAAAUCAUAGAAAUAGCAAGUUACAACCGCCGACAACAGUUUGCCUAGAUUCUAGGAGACUCCAACAAAGUAUGAAUCAAGAAAGCAAGCAUGUAUGGAUAAAGUUUAUAUAAAUUCUACCAUUGUUUCGUUUGGGAUGACUUUUUUACUACUUAAAGCAGUUUUUUUAGUACACAAAUUUUAAAAAACUGAUUUAAGAAGCACUAAGAAAGCUGUCCCAAAUGAUCCUAAGACAUCAGUUUGAUGGAAAUGGAAAUGCUUGGACCCUCAAUACCAAAUAAUAAUUGAGAAAAAUAGCAAUUCUAAAUGGACAAGGAUGGGCUUCAGUUUGAUUGUGAAUGUUGGAGAUACCAUUGUUAAUAAGACAAAAUAUAAAAUCUACCAUGUUUUAAAUCAACUAAGAAAAGCUUCAGUUUGAUUGAAAUGCUUGAAAAAUAAAGUCCAGGUUUCUACAAUUCAACCAUUUAGUGCAACGGCAUUAAGGCAUAAGUUUGAUUGCAAUGUUUGGACAGCAAAAAAGAAAUACGAAUUGUAAAGUCUACUGAUGUGGUAUUCCACGGAAGAAGCAGGUUCACACAAGAUGAAAUCAAAGAAGGCAAUAGAACAGUAAUGGCUAAGGCCAGGAAAAUGUAUUUUCUCAACUAAGUUCCCCUUCUUCUCCCGGAGAAGAAAAACAGAGGUGGCCAUUUCUCAAAAUGGCAACAGACAAGCUGGCAGACAAAGAGAACCUGCAGCUAACUAAACAAAGUAAUUUCUGUUGGUGGAGCAGCCACCUCUAACGGAACUCUAAAGCUUAAAAUAAAAACAAGUAGUAAAUAAUUAAACUAGAAAAUACUUAAAGCAAAUGACUAGAUCAGCAGCCGACGGCUUGAUGCACCGCAUCAUCUACCGAGUGAAUGGAUAGCAGGUUCCAGUUUUAGGCAGUAUAAAUGGACUAAUACAGGGCUUAAGUUUGAUUGCAAUGCUCUAAGAAUUGAGAAUCCUACAACAGUUACUAAAAUUAACGAUUACAAAGAGAAGGUUGGUGACUCCAAGAAAACCAGUAUGCUUGAAGAAGCUAAAUCAAUCCUAUUUUUACAAAACAGGAUCAAGAUAAAAUACUCCAGAGCAUAAGACAAGAAUACCCGUAAAGAAGUUCAGAAAAAUUUAGAUCAAAUACUUCACAGAAAAUUUGAAUUUGAAUAUCUGGUAGAAUGCUGAUGGGAGGUGCAAACAGACUCGGCUGCCGAAUACUAUAGAGGGUGCAAAUACUACACAAAGCUUCAAUUUGAUUGCAAUGUUUGAAGAGAAGACUAAAGGCUCAUAUGGGACAGCUUUUUUACUGCUUUUUAAAUAAGCUUUUUAGUACAAAAAUUAACAUUUUUUUACUAAAAAUUGCUUUAAGAAGCAAUAAGAAAGCCGUCCCAAACAAAGCCUAAGAGGAUGUUUGAUCUGAUGUUAUCCAUAUAACAUUGCUAUCUACAUAAAAUUAGAGAUUGUUUGGUUUGAUUAUAUCUUCAAUUUUGAAGUAAGCUAUAUAGCAUUAGCACCUAAGAUGGCGACAAAUUUAGGUGCUGUUUAGAUAACCUCAAUCUUGAUGGCUAAAAUAUACAGAAAAUAAAUAAGCAUUCAUUAUUCAAAAUAAAAGCAUCGAACCAAACAAUUUGUAUUUAAUAAAUAAGAAUAACAUUGUCAUCUAGAUAUAGCACUGUAUCUAUAUAACAUCAAACCAAACAACCCCUAAACAAUACUUCAGUUAGCAAGCAAGAGGAAGAGGCCGUUGGCCAAAGUUAAAAAGAAGCUUAAAAUGAACAUUUCAAUAAUGUCUCAAAAACUAUAAGUAAUA